UUUCGUGGGUACGUAAAUGAGAUAAUAGCUGUUCCAAUCAACCAGAUGACCGGCGCACUGGGUGUGUGAAAUAGAAUCAACACUUUUGUCAGGUCGGGCUACGCAGUCUCCCAGAUAUUUCUUUUGAUUUAUUUGAAGCUGUUUCAUCUGAUGCAUCGCCGAUUCCCCGGCCGUGGGGACCUCUCUUCUGACCAGCCACGAGAGAAUCGCAGUUUCCAGGAGAAUAACCUUGCCCCCUUCCUGGAUCGUUGGCCUCAAAAUGACUGCCAGUACAUCCAAAUCAAUUCCAGCGGCAUAACGAUGAAUUAUCGUAGUUCUAAGCAGACCAUUGUACUGUG